rnacentral:tRNA from 1 species
GGCAGGCGAUGGGAAAGGCUAUCAAGCACUUCCGACUUCCGAUGUCGGAUAUUGGAUAUCAAAUGUCGGAAGUGGAAACUUCCUGCUAGCUU